AGUCAGUGAUUACUUCGAUUUCCAAGUAUUGUUGCUAUUGAAGUAAGCUAGAUUUCUUUAAAAUGGUGAUGCGUAAACAUAUUAUCUUGGUUAUAGCCAUGGUCAUGGUGUUGGUCUUCACGGUUUUGAACCUCUGCGAGUCUGCUUUGGUGGUAGAACUUAACCACUGCACUCUGGCUCAGUGCGUGACGGCAUGCAAGAAAAUCCUCGAGAACAAGUACAUAAGUGGGGCGUGCAUGACGGGGAACAAUCAGGGCAAGCUAUGCCUUUGUUUAGGUUGAUGAAGAAAAUAUUGGGGAUUAAUCUUAUCUUAAUUAGAGAUUAGUUGGCAAGUCUUGAAGCAGACAGAUCUUUGCAUCCCCGUUCAUCUGACAGUUUGUAUAAAUAAGAAGAGUGCUAUUAGGAACGCCAAUUUAAAUAUGGGGAGGUCAACUGCAGUUACAAGUUACAACCCCCGAGUUAGAGGUUAAAACGUGCCGGCCUGGCACAGCCCAGUCCACGAAAUCACGUGCUUAGAGUGCUAGGAUGGGUUGUGCCAGAGAUUCAGACAUGCCGUGUUGUGCUCUGCUAAAUGGAGUGUCGUGUUGUGUUGUGCCAGAAAAAUAAACGUGAUGUGUCGUGCUGGGCGUGCUAGCACAUUUAUUUUAUGUUCUCCAAAAUAAAUAUUUUUGAGAUAUUUUGGUUAGUAAAUGUAUUAUUAUAUAAAUAAAUUAGUAUAACGAAAAUAAAAUGUCAGAAAAUGGCUAAAACAAUGAUUUUUUUUUUA